UACGGGGGGGGCAAGCGUUGUUCGGAAUUACUGGGCGUAAAGGGUUUGUAGGUGGCUUGUUAAGUCAGACGUGAAAUCCCUCAGCUUAACUGGGGAACUGCGUCUGAUACUGGCGAGCUUGAGUGCAGGAGAGGAACGCGGAAUUCCAGGUGUAGCGGUGAAAUGCGUAGAUAUCUGGAGGAACACCGGUGGCGAAGGCGGCGUCCUGGACCAACACUGACACUGAGGAGCGAAAGCCAGGGGAGCAAACGGG
rnacentral:rRNA from 1 species